UGCUCUUGACUGCUGAACUCUUUCUCCGGCCCCUGUAGCUGCUUCUCAGAUUGCAUAAAGAUCAUUGUCACCAAGCAGAGCUGAAUAGAGAGCAACACAAGGCGCAAGCUUUAAGCUGUUCCAGGCUUUGAACCGUGUCUACUCUCCACCUCUCAUCAGUGUUGCCGUUAUCCUGAGCAUGGGUCUUGCCCUUCUACCUCAAGAGCAUCGCCUGCCACCAGCUCGAAGACACGGGACAAUCUGGAGCUUCAAACCCAUGUGACAGUCUACUCUGGUCUGGACCUCUGUCCAUUCUCUCUGCUCUAACACAGAGUUCUAGAAAAUAUGCAAUUCUGUAGAGACAUGGUUACCAGAAAAUGGAGCAGCCUGGCUCAUUUAAAAGUCUUGCAGUGAUAAAAUGCUCGGACGGAAGCAACAUGGAGGAGACAGGGUUUGUUCUAGCACACAGCUCUGGUGUGGAACUGUGUGGAGAAGCCACAGGGGACUUGGAGGCAAGCCGGGAGAGAGGGAGGAGAAAGAGAUCGCCAUGAUGGGGAAGAAGGAAGAGGAGACCUAAAGGCCAGCUGACAUGUGAGAAUCAGGGAAAGUGGCCACACGGGCCACUUCCACAGCUGUGUUUGAGGACCAACGGUACUGUUGCUCUAGCUACAGGAAUAAUCCUGGGCAGCACUUGUUGACCUUGGUCACUGUCAAGGGAAGAUCGGCUGUUCCCACUGAGGGCAUCUUGAUGGAUUAAGGUGAUCAGCUGAUCAAUGUGAGGGGACAGAUGGGAGCUAGGAACUGUCUCGGUACUGAGUCAUUUUUCAUCUAAUGUGCAAGAAACCCAAAGAGCACAUCAAACAGCGAACUACGCCUAAGCUAUCCAUGUUUCUCCUGCUUCUUCUGAGAGGGUGAUUUACACGUAGCUCAACACUCGAGUGUUGCAGUAUCGAGUGACUGCAACCAAACAAUGGAACAUGCAUCGUGCCUGUUGACAGAGCCUGCAGUUGGCUUGGAACCGGGACCAUGCUGCAUUCGACAUCGUUCCUGGUGGCUGACUUGUUCCCAUAGAAUUAAAUGCUAGGCAUCCAGAAGCUGACUGUGCAUCUGAUGGGCUCACUAACAUUCAGGAACAGGUUGGCCUCAGACUUCAUCAAUGGAAAGAGCCACCUAGAACAUGGAUGCAAGCUGGAACUUUGACGUUGUCUUGGGGAUAAAAGUUAAACAAAGAAGUGGAUUCUUCAGUCCUGACGCGUAAGUCACUGAGAGGAUGAGCUCGUUCCCUCUCCUGAAAGACAUCUUCCUGUUACAGCAGCCAGCUUUGCCAGCUCCCUGAACGUUCUGCUGCCUCCUUGCCCAGAACAACACUAUCUGUGACCGUCAAGUUAAAAAGGCCAUCUGUCUAGCACCAUGACCUUCAGCUAGGCCAUCAUUGCUUGGGAAUGCUCCCUUCACAUCGUGCUCUCUUCUUUUUUUUUUUUUUAAAUUAGAAUUAACUUUAUUGUACAUCACAAGACAAAUAAGCAAUAAAAACAUGUUAUAUAGAUGAAAUAGAAUACAAUUCCAUGUUAAUGAAAAACAAAACAUUUUGACCAUAUUCAUCUUGUGUAAGAAUCUCAUGUUCUCUUUUUACUCCUGCUUCUCUCCCUCCUACUCCUAAUCUGCCUUGCUUCUCCAUUCAUUUCUUUCAAUCUACUGAGCUUCAUUACUGUUGCUUAUAGGAACAUGGCAGAAUGUUGUUAACAAGAGUGUGGUUGUUGAGUCAGUAGCUAAGCCACUGAAGAAAAAGGCUUCUUCCUUCCCCAUCAACCAUGGUCUAUAAAUCCUCGGGGACGGAAGGGGUGUCCUGCCUGGUCACGUGUUUCCACAGGCAGCAAAAUUUUCGUAUUCCUGUCUGGCUGGGCUUAAGUUUUUUUGGCAAGAGUCUCCCUUCCCCUUGUAACAUCUUGGAAAGCUUGUAACUGAGCACAAAGAUGUUUAUUUUGAGAAGCAAAAGGGACUAAAUAUGUUCAAAAACAAUCUCUACCUCUCCUGCAGGAAGAGCCUUACUUUUCUCUUGUGGAUACAUUUCCAUGGCUUCUCCUGUCAAAAGGCAAAGGGCACAGGCGAGGCUAUCAGGGAUGGCUCUGGAGAACUGGAACUCUCUCUCUGACACCGGAUCCUCAAGGGGUAUUAGGAAGUACUGAGCGGGGCGGAUUUAGAAAGAGACAGAAAGGGUGGGUCUAGGAGGAACAAAGUCAGACUGUUAGGAAGGACAAUGUCGACAUAAUAGACAGCUGCCCUCUGGCUAUUUCAUGUCCAUUGUAUGAUUGGUUAUUUCAUGUCCAUGCACAGAACACCAUUGGUAGACCUUUACUGACAUCGAUAAAUGUUGCUUGAUCAGCACCUGAGAAUCAUAACACACCUUAAUACACUUCUCACCAACUGGACAGCUAAGGAAAGUUAGACUUAGGAUUUCAGCCAUGCGUCCAGUCUUUUGAUUUUUAGGAUCAUCACAUCUUGAAAUAGUUAUUCUGAAAGUAACAUUUCUUGUUUUUAGAAUUUUCUCCUCUUUCUAUUCUGUAUUUAAAAAACAAAAAAACUAUCAAGCUACCUUACUAGUACAGAUGAACCUCACAAAGCCAAGCUCCUCUUACUAAAGCCAUCAGAGGUAAGAGUAUCUUUGCUGAAUGUUUGGCACAAGGGCUCAGAUCUCAGACUUGCCCAGAAUUCUUUUAUAGGACUUCGGUAGCAUAGGUGAGGGUUUUCAGAGAGGAUGGGGAGAGCCCCCAGGAGUUUGGCCACAAGUAAAAGGACACAUGUUUAGAUCCAGAUGAAAUCUUAAUUUCUUCUGAGUAGAAAUUGCCAGAGUGCAUGACGAGGUCCUUGCCAUUACUGUCUGCCUCAGCUGUAGGCAGAGUCCUUUAUGAGCUGUUAAUUGGCCAGAGUCAUACCGCUAACACCAACAGAUGGUAUAAAGUUAUAAAUCAGCCCUCAUCUGGGGAGAGAAAAGAUUGAUGUGACUGGCAUCACCACUAUCUUUAUUCUUCUAGAACAAAUUCAGGUGGAGAGGCCAAGUGGGAGCAUGUGCCUCUGGACCCCUCAACACCCGGAAGCUCUUACCUAUGCAGCAGUGCUAUUUCCUGGGUCUCUGUCUCUGCCUCUUAAGUGCUCACCAAAUGCCUAGGUGUUUCUCCCAAGUUCCAGGAUUUAUAAGUAGUUGCUCAGACAUUCGUAACCAUGAUUGUCUUUCUCUACAGGAACCUUACUCUUCCUUUUCAGGUCCCCAAGACAUACCCUUUCCUCCAUAACUAGCAUACAGCUUCUCGCCCUUCUCUUGAGAGAGCAAUGGGCAUUGGGUUUUUGUAUUUUCCUCUCUACUCCUGAUGAAAGGUACCGAAGCCAGGUAGCAAAUUAUUGUGACACAGUAUUUUGCUUUCUGACUAGAGUUGUCCAUGCUUCCUGAGAGCUGUCCUCUCAAAUGGGCUGCCAAUUUCAGCUCAUAUUCCAAGAAAAUCUGAGAACCCAGAAUCAAACCAAAAAGAGUCAGAAAAUACCGGUUACUGCUCUAGACCUGAAAGGCAGACAACAUGGAGGUCUUUCAAAACCAACAGCAGCCACAAAGCUAAUCAAGGCUCCAGGUUGAACUGUCACACUCAAGGCGACGAAAAGUCACCAAAGCCAUCAGGACUCUGAUCUCAGGUUCCUCUCCCAGGCAUUGGAUUCACAGCCCUGAGGAUUUUUCCUUCCAUUGGUUAGAGGCAGACAUGUUUGUGGUGUGGCUACACCGAUGUUCCCAUUUUAUAGGCAAAGCCAUCAUUCCUGACUCCGGAUAUAUAUUGAUUUUUUUUCUUUAUAAUGGCGGAAAGUAGGUUGGGCUUUCCCAACUUCAAGACUCACCUUUACACUGGAAAUCCAAAGACACUGACUUGCAUGAUCGAAUGUGUUGGGAAUGUUUUGGUGCUGGCUUCUUUGUUUGCUCAAAUCAUAAAGCUGACAGUUUCCCUGACCUGUGACCAUUGUGAACCUUCACAGCUCCCAGACUGUACUGACAGCUUUUGUUGUCUGAGCAGCCGGAAUUGUUGGUGUCCAGGAACCUUAUUCCUGCGACACUGUAUAGUAAGUUGGGGAUUUUAUUUGGUACAUGAAAGGAAAAAAAACUCGAUUUGUGAGUCAAGCAUUAAAAAGUAUGUUCACGAAA
rnacentral:lncRNA from 1 species